rnacentral:rRNA from 1 species
UACGUAGGGUGCAAGCGUUAAUCGGAAUUACUGGGCGUAAAGGGUGCGUAGGCGGUUCGUUAAGUCUGUUGUGAAAUCCCCGGGCUCAACCUGGGGAUGGCAAUGGAUACUGGCUAGCUAGAGUGUGUCAGAGGAUGGUGGAAUUCCCGGUGUAGCGGUGAAAUGCGUAGAGAUCGGGAGGAACAUCAGUGGCGAAGGCGGCCAUCUGGGACAACACUGACGCUGAAGCACGAAAGCGUGGGGAGCAAACAGG